UUUUGGACAAUGGGCGCAAGCCUGAUCCAGCAAUGCCGCGUGAGUGGAGAAGGCCUUCGGGUUGUAAAGCUCUUUUGCCCCCGAAGAAACGGUGGACUCUAAUACAGAUCACUAAUGACGGUACCUGAAGAAUAAGCACCGGCUAACUACGUGCCAGCAGCCGCGGUAAUACGUAGGGUGCAAGCGUUAAUCGGAAUUAUUGGGCGUAAAGCGUGCGCAGGCGGUUUGGUAAGACAGAUGUGAAAUCCCUGGGCUCAACCUAGGAAUUGCAUUUGUGACUGCCCGACUAGAGUGUGUCAGAGGGGGGUAGAAUUCCACGUGUAGCAGUGAAAUGCGUAGAGAUGUGGAGGAAUACCGAUGGCGAAGGCAGCCCCCUGGGAUAACACUGACGCUCAUGCACGAAA
rnacentral:rRNA from 1 species